ensembl:piRNA 21ur-1684 ncRNA
UGUUUCAACUCUACGGUGCCU